rnacentral:rRNA from 1 species
GAUGAACGCUGGCGGCGUGCUUAACACAUGCAAGUCGAACGGAAAGGCCCUGCUUUUGUGGGGUGCUCGUGUGGCGAACGGGUGAGUAACACGUGUGUAACCUGCCCUUGUCUUUGGGAUAACUUCAGGAAAAUGGGGCUAAUACCGGAUAGGAGCUCCUGCUGCAUGGUGGGGGUUGGAAAGUUUCGGCGGUUGGGGAUGGACUCGCGGCUUAUCAGCUUGUUGGUGGGGUAGUGGCUUACCAAGGCUUUGACGGGUAGCCGGCCUGAGAGGGUGACCGGCCACAAUGGGACUGAGAUACGGCCCAGACUCCUACGGUAGGCAGUAGUGGGGAAUAAUGCACAACGGGCGGAAGCCUGAUGCAGCGACGCCGCGUGCGGGAUGACGGCCUUCGGGUUGUAAACCGCUUUCGCAGGUGACGAAGCGAGAGUGACGGUAACGGGUAAAGAAGCAACGGCUAACUACGUG